CUAUCACGUUGAUGAUAUUUUCUGCUGCUGUUUCUGAUCAUUUACCUCAGUCCAUGCUGAUGUUUGCAAAUCAAAGUAGUUGAUCCCGAUGUUCGAAAUUGCAUUGCAUUGUCUUCUUCCAUUAACAAUGCAAUGCAAUUUGGCUAAGUCUGAAAUAGUUUUGGCUGGCCCUAGGAAACUAAGACGAUCUGAAACAUAUUUUUAAGAUUUAUACUUCACAGGUUGCUUAUUAUGGUUUUAUGUGUAAACUUCUUCGUUUCAUGUGCAGUUAUCUCUAUGAUGGUACGUUCAAAGGCCAAAGCUAGGAAAUCAGUAGUACCACCUAUGAAAGUGCAGGUCAAGAUGGGUGCAAUAGUUCAUGAGGGAAGUAGUUCACACUAGAAGCAACAGAAACCUAGUUGUUUCGCUGUUUAUGUGAAGGAUUUUACUCGAGGUGUAAAGAAAAUAUUUCAAGAAGACAAUAUAAUAAAACAAACAGAGGUGAUGGCAGCCAUGUCGGAAUGGUGGCAUGAGGGAUACUUGCGAAAGAACUACGACAAAACCUAUUAUGGAUCAAGCAGUGAGGAAGAUAAUGAUGAGGUCGAUGUGAAUGAUGAGGAAUCGAGUGAACAAGAGGGCGACAAUUGUUCGCCCCAUCCAAAGAAGAAGAAGAAGAAGAGUACAAGGGAGAGUAAAAAGAAGAAGAAAGUGCCGGUAUGUCAAUAACUAAUGAUGCUUUGUACCGUGCUUAGGAGUUGAAAUGCUUAAUCAUGGGAUUUCACCUUUAUGUGCAUUUAUGUCCAU